rnacentral:rRNA from 1 species
UACAGAGGUGGCAAACGUUGUCCGGAUUUAUUGGGUGUAAAGGGCAUGUAGGUGGCUUUGUAAGUCAAAGGUGAAAUGGCCCGGCUCAACCAGGUCAUUGCCUUUGAAACUGCUGAGCUUGAGUUCGGAAGAGGAAAGCGGAAUUCCCAGUGUAGCGGUGAAAUGCGUAGAUAUUGGGAGGAACACCGGUGGCGAAGGCGGCUUUCUGGUCCGAAACUGACACUGAGAUGCGAAAGCCAGGGGAGCAAACGGG